rnacentral:rRNA from 1 species
AAACCGUUGAAAGGGAAGCGAAUGGAGUUAGCAAUUCGCCCMGCCAGAUUCAGUUGCUCGCACGUCGCGACGUACGCGCUCUCGAUCCGCAUGGACGAGACGUGUGCGGGUGCGACGCGCGGUCUGCGCACUUCUGGCGAGCGAGCGUCAGCGUCGGUUGUCGACGGGCGACAAGGACGCGGGGAAGGUGGACUGGCCUUCACGGCCGGUUGUUACAGCCCCGUGCUCGCAUAGCCCGACGGCGACCGUGGCUCGGCGACGCGUGCCUGGCUGGUGACUCGAACGAUCGGUCCGGCAUGUCGACCGUGGCGGACGGCACGCCUGUGCGCUCAAACCGCUGCCGGUCGAUCGGACGAUGYUCACACACUACGCGUCAAAGAUGCUGACGGCCAUACGGCUCCAUCCGACCCGUCUUGAAACACGGACCAAGGAGUCUAACAUGUGCGCGAGUCUCCGGGUGAUCGAAACCCGUGGGCACAAUGAAAGUAAAGAUCGUCCUAGACGAUUGAGGUGAGAAGCGGGCGCCCCGGCGCUCGCGGCAUCAUCGACCGACCUAUUCUGCUCUCAGAGAGGUUUGAGUAAGAGCGUAUCUGUUGGGACCCGAAAGAUGGUGAACUAUGCCUGA